rnacentral:rRNA from 1 species
AGAAUCAACGCUGGCGGCGUGCCUAACGACAUGCAAGUCGCACGAGAAAGGGGAGCAAUCCCUGAGUAAAGUGGCGCACGGGUGAGUAACACGUGAAUCAUCUACCCUCGGGUGGGGAAUAACCUGGAGAAAUCCGGGCUAAUACCGCAUAACACUUACGAGUCAAAGCAGAAAUGCGCCUGGGGAGGAGUUCGCGGCCGAUUAGCUAGUUGGCGGGGUAAUGGCCCACCAAGGCGAUGAUCGGUAUCCGGCCUGAGAGGGCGCACGGACACACUGGAACUGAAACACGGUCCAGACUCCUACGGGAGGCAGCAGUGGGGAAUUUUGCGCAAUGGGGGAAACCCUGACGCAGCAACGCCGCGUGGAGGAUGAAGUAUCUUGGUACGUAAACUCCUUUCGAUGGGGAAGAUAAUGACGGUACCCAUAGAAGAAGCCCCGGCUAACUUCGUGCCAGCAGCCGC